UACGGAGGAUGCGAGCGUUAUCCGGAUUUAUUGGGUUUAAAGGGUGCGUAGGCGGUCCGGAAAGUCAGCGGUAAAAGCCCGGGGCUCAACCCCGGCGAGCCGUUGAAACUGUCGGACUAGAGACGGCGAGAAGUACGCGGAAUGCGCGGUGUAGCGGUGAAAUGCAUAGAUAUCGCGCAGAACUCCGAUUGCGAAGGCAGCGUACCGGCGCCGGACUGACACUGAGGCUCGAAAGCGUGGGGAGCAAACAGG
rnacentral:rRNA from 1 species